AAUAAAGAAAAAAGUCUCAUCAGUUAUUAUAUUUUUGUUAUGAUUCAUUUCGAUUGGUAAUUUAAAACAGAAAGUAGUAGUGACAGUGACAUUACUUGGAGUGAAUACAUAACAUUGUCCUUUGCUGCCUUUAAACUUCUUUCACCACAAAAUGUUUUAAGCUAUGCUUCACUUUCAGAUACAAAUUAUAAUUUGCUGAGAAUUUUGGGUUGUAAUUAAGAAAGUCACAUGUCUUUGUGAAAUUUUUUCGUGGUUACUGAUUCUCUUUUAAUGUAACUGCAAAACAGUCUGUGACUGGUUUAAGGAAUGAGUAGAGCAAUAGUGUAGAGCAAAUGUAAAAUACAUUUAAAAUUACAUAAUUAUAUAUGGAGUAUCUUUGUCCUUUAAGACUGUUUAUCACCUUCUGAGUAACUGAGGAUUCUGUGAGAGCAGGAAAGUACUUCAGCUGGCUUUUAGUAUUAAUAAGUCUCAAGGGCCCAAAUAAUUUUUUUUUUUUGUGGGAAAUAUACUGUACUAUCAAGGUGCUGAGGAUAAUGACAUUCUUAACAUUGUACUGUAGUCUGAUUUUCUGGGCGAGUGUAGUCCUUAGAAGGACUGUUGUGACUGAUAAUAAUUAUUCACUUGACUCUGAUGAUGACUUAUGCUCAGGUUGUCAAAUCGUCAGUCACUGAUAUUGACAACAGUCUUUGUCAGGACUACACUGCCCUAGACAAUCAGACUAAACUUUCACAUGUUACCCUCAGGUUCAAAUCAUUUACUGUAUUCCUGAAAUUGUAAUCAUGUUCCUUAAGGUUCCUAGACUAGACACAGCACACAUAGAGGAGGCAUCGCACUGGGUAACACUGGAGUGUCCUUUAGAGUUGAACAGAAUCAUGGUGGAUUGGUUGAACAAAAUUCAUGCAAUGCAACCUGAUUCAUCCAAGUUGUAACACAAAUAUGAUAUGAGAAUAUUUGUUGAUCUGUGACAAAGAAAAUUGACAGCACAUCUGUUGGUGGAAGAAACUUUCAUUGUUAUUUCCUUGUAGCACAACCUGAUUCAUGCAAGUUAAAGUUUGUUGCAUAUUGUGGAAAUGGCCAGGUGGUUGGUUGCAAAGAAAUAGGAUCACUUCUUAAGGCAAAAACCAUAGGUUCUUCUUCGACACUCUUGAUCAAGUAGUUCAAAUAUUUGAAAUAAAAAAGAAAAGUUGAA